rnacentral:misc_RNA from 1 species
CUUCCCUUAGAUUGCCCAAAAGAAGUUGUGCUCAUUUUUGAACUUCGAUUUGACAUAACUUGACAACUUUCAGCAUCUUUUUUCAUUCCAUCAACCUCAGUAACCUCAUCAUCAUCCUCAUCCAAAUCUAAAGGUUCAAACUCUUCUUUCUUAACAACUUGUAGAUCUAAUUUAACAGGUGGAGGUCGUUCCUUAAGUAUGAGAGCAAUUGUUGAUACUGUCUUCCCUAAUCCCUGAUCAUCUGCAAGAAUUCCUCCUGAACAAUACAUGCUAGAAGUCUCUUUCUGAAUCAUCCAUGAUAAAGCAAUUCGCUGAUGUCUCAAAAGAGGAACUGCCAAAACUCCUUCUGGAGGACUAGCUUCAGACUUUGGCUGAGAAAUAUCCUGUAAUGCAGCUCGAAAUAUGAACCUCUCAUCAUUAGCCCUAAGCCUUGCGCCUCCAAUUCCAGUAUAAUGGACAGAAUCACCAUAUGCAGAAUGUUGCAAAAGAGUAUUGGCCUUUCCAACCACAGCAGAGUGGUUUAUACGAGCAGGUUGACUGAUAUCUUCAAGAAUACAUAGGUCAGCAUCAUCAUCAACAUUGGAUUUGCUACCAGACAAAUUACUCAGAAUUGAUUCAGGGCUGACACUUGAAAGAUGACCCAACUGCUUAGGUUGAGUCAGUUUACUAUCUCUUUUCUCCUUAACAAAACCCGGUUGCUUGUUUACAUUAGAUUCCUUAACACAUGACGAAUACGGCUCUAAAGCAUGUAAAUUCAAACGUGCACCAUUAAGGGGAAUAUUACCAGCAAUUCCAUCAAAUUGAGCUCCCAUGGAUGCAAAAUUCAUGUCUCCUUUCCCAUUCUUAAUGUAGAUAAAAUGCUUCUGGCUCAGUAUAGAAGAUGAUUGCUUUGACUCUUCUUCAACAAAAAGACUACUUUCAUCACUAGAAGAAAACUUUUUAUCAACAGCGUCAUCAGUCAUUUCAACCUCCAUGGCAGCCAGUUGCCUCUUGCUGAUGGCUGACGGAAUAUGACUGAAUGGAAUUCCUGAUGACUUGCUAUCAACAAGUCUAUCAUCAGUAUUAGAUGAAAAAUUUCCACUGAAAGGUGACAUACAGUUACUAGCUUCACUUUUAAAAUUAAGUCCCUUGACAUCAGAGUAAUCAAUCAUUGAAAUCUCAGACACAGAACUCUCAGUUCUAAACUCCCCUAUUUCAUCUGUUCUGUUAGUUGUAAUUACUUCAUUGCUAGGAAAUAACUCAAAACUAAAAUCUUCACCAAAAUAACACUGCGGCGAAUCAAGAAAACAUGUAUCAUCGGCAUUGAUACCAAAUUGCAUGGCUGGAUGAUGGUCACCUAACUCAGUAUUCAUAUCAGAAUUAGAACAAAAGGUAGACUGAGUAGAAACUAUAUUAUGAGAAGACACAUCAGCAUCCACAAAUGACAUAGCCAUAGAUCUAUAAAAAUUAUUUUCAGGUUUUUCAAUAAAAGCACCACUGUGUCGAAACUUCUCAUCUGU